rnacentral:rRNA from 1 species
AGUGAACGCUGGCGGCAGGCCUAACACAUGCAAGUCGAGCGGCAGCGGGUUCCCGCGAGGGGAUGCCGGCGAGCGGCGGACGGGUGAGGAACACAUCGGAAUCUGCCUGGUUGUGGGGGAUAACGUAGGGAAACUUACGCUAAUACCGCAUGCGACCCUGAGUCGACGGACUGGGGGUGAAAGUGAGGGACCUUCGGGCCUCACGCGACCAGAUGAGCCGAUGUCGGAUUAGCUAGUUGGCGGGGUAACGGCCCGCCAAGGCGACGAUCCGUAGCUGGUCUGAGAGGAUGAUCAGCCACACUGGGACUGAGACACGGCCCAGACUCCUACGGGAGGCAGCAGUGGGGAAUCUUGGACAAUGGGCGCAAGCCUGAUCCAGCCAUG